AGUGGGAUUGAUCGUAACAUUAAAACGCCUCCACAGCUGAAAAGGCGAGCAUGUUUGGUGGGACGGGGAUCCAAACGAGCGAUCCGCAGAUUGUGAGUUGGGUUCCCUAACCACAUAGCCCAAAGUAUCUCAAGUUAAAUAAUUGAAAUUUAACGCAUGUUUUAAAAUAUGUUGACUGGUCAUCACUGUAUGUUUUUUUACUGAACAUUUAGUACUUCUACAGAAUUUUAUGUAAAGCAUGACGAUUUAUCUGGCAAAAUAUUGGAAUGAUGCUACUGUUGUGGAUAUGGUAAAAGACGAAAACUGCAUUAUGAAACUUGAUGAAAAUUCGAGCAUAUUAUUUCACUGUGAAUGUUUCCUGUACGAAGAGUACACAUCAUAAAUGGAGUUUAAACAUACAAGUAUUGGUAUAUUAUAAUAAUAUAGUUAUUACGAAUCUUUGCUUUCUUCCCAUUCACGAAACAUAGUCUCGAAAUAAACGAAUCCUUCCUUAUUCGUGGAUGCUUUGAAUUUUACUAGAAAAAUAUGUAUUUAAAUGUUUGUAAUUAAUAAAUAUAUAAAAACUCUUUUCUCUCCGCCAAUUCUGUGUAAUUACCUGAAUAUAUCUAUAUAAUAGUUUUCGUCCAUGGCUGCUAAUUUUUAAAUCAAUUGAACAUUAUUAAAUUAUAGUUAAAUUUUAAAAAAUUGACAAGUUUUACUUCCGUGUAGUAGUCCAUCGUUGGCUCAGCGGUAAUCUUUAGGGUUUAUAACGCUAAAAACGAGGAUUCGAUCCGUGCGGCAGACAGCGCAGUUAGCCUAUUGUGUAGCUUUGUGCAAAAACUCACUUCCAUGUAGGCCUAAAGCCAUUUUAAAAAUAAUAUUUGUGUGUGUGUGUUAUGUAGAUGUUGAUUUUUUCCACUUUCCGUGUUACUUGAAGUCUCCAUUAUGCGAUUCUUACCACAUACACGUUUAUUAUUGUACGUGAAGAUAAACUUUGACGUUUCUUGCAUUUCACGAGGCAAAGAUAACUUUAUUACAUUUAGCAGUUGUGAAACAUAUAUUUAUACUUCGAUUUUUUCUGUUUUGCUUUAUCAACUAGUCGUUAUACACUUAGCAGUGCCUUAAAAUGCGACAUCGAAAUUAAACAUAGUAAAUUUAGUACAAUAUUUCAUACACUAAUGUAAAGUACAAAAAAAUACGAAAGAGAGACCCAUCACUGAUGCAUAAGACCGAAAUAUGUUUCGCAACCAGUAAACCAGGCAGAAUUACAAACGUUAAUUGCAUCAUCUCUAGAAGCUACAGCUGUGUGUAUAACCUAGGUGUUUCAUUACUCAACAACUGACACUCCUUCCAGUUUGUCUUAAAGUCAACUAACUUACCAACGAUACUCUUGUAUUUUUAUACUAUGUUAUUCUUAUAACAAACAAAAGUAACAUCAAGUUAUAUGUCUGGAGUAAGGAAAUAAUUCUACAACUAAAAAUGACUUAAGCUCCAGAAAAACUUUACCUGUAUUUCAUCUUGUGUCCCUCAAUAGCUCAGCGGUAAGUUUGAGGGCCCACACCGCCAAAAAUCAGGUUUCGAUACUCGUGGUGGGAAUAGAUAGCCCAUUAGGUAGCUUUAGGCUUAAUAACAAACUGAGUUUGUUUACCCACGACUUAUGGGUUAAACGUUUUACCACUAUACGACUAGUACAAACCAGUACGUUGGUAAAAUAAACAUUUUUUCUGGAGUUCUAAGUCGUUUUUACUUGUAGACUAAUAUAAAAGUAUUAUAUCAAUAAUUUUUAAUAUGCCUUUCUGUGGAGUUAGAUAUGAACUACUUGUAUCACAACUAAUCUUUUUGUGGAAAUAGUACAAAACUUGCGCAGUCUUGUAUGACGUGUUUUAAAACGAUAAACUUUACAAUAUUUUAUGUAAAUUGAAGUGCAAAACUAUAUUUAUUCUCAAUAGAUUCUAAUUUGGAAUUGAUAAAUGUGUCUUAGAUAUUCUGGUGAUUGUAUUAAUGUGUUUCAGGCUAUAAUAAUGUCACAAUUUUGCAUUUAUUGGAGAAAUGUCACAAUCUAGAAAGUGUAAUUGUUUUUAUAAGUUAUGAUGUGCCCCCCCCCCCAGAAGGUGUCUUCUUAUAUGCUUUUUGUUCUUUUUCAUAAUUUGCAGAAACUAAUUUUUGUCAUAUAGUUUUUUCUUCUUUUUCUUUAAGCAGUAAACUUUAGAAAUAUAAUUUUGUAAUACCGAUUAUGUAGCUCGUAAGAGAUCACGUUAUGCGUGUUUUAACAGGAAGUUUUCUCGACACGUUGAAUGUGAGUGCAUUAGAUAAACACUAAAUUUGUAAAUGUUUUGUUUUAAAUUGUGAAGUAUUGUGGGAUAUAUUUUGUGUAUGAUGUUGUUUAUUACAAGAAGGGUUUUAAUGCAGCGUGUAUUAUUAUUAUUAUAUAUAUCUGUGAUAGUACCUUCCAUUAUAUAACCAAAAUAGUGUAAUUUAAACAAAAAAGGAAUUGUUUUGAUUGCAGUUUCAACUCGCCUGUUUAGCUAUUUCGUUUCAUGUGUUAAUGUAGGAAUUAUUAUACAAACAGUUAUUUCGUGCAUCAGACAGCAUCGCCACAAAACAACAGUGUAAUCGGCUCUGGACUGGUGUGUCCUAUAUGUAAGAAGAGAUAUUCAAGCAAGUCUAACUUGAUCCAACACAUGGGAAUUCAUAGACCUCAGAGGAAGAAAUUUUACUGUGACAUCUGUUUCAAAACCUUCUUAUGGUCCAAUAGUAGAAAUGCUCACAAAAGGAACGUUCAUCGAGUGUUUUGAUGAUGGUCUUAGAUCCGGCAGACUUGGUCGCCCUCGUCGCUCAGAACAGACCAUUUUCAGACGAGAUUUAGUAUGCCCGAUUUGUGGGUUAGACUACGCCCAAAAAAGUAGUCUGCUCAACCACAUGAACAUUCAUCGACCACAGAGAAAGAAAUAUUAUUGUGAUGUAUGCAACAAAUCAUUUCUUUGGCCGAACAGUCGAAACCUCCACAAAAGAACUGUGCAUGGUUAUAAAUUCUAAUAGAUGUUAAAUCUACAGAAUGAUUGUUGGUAAUUUUACAUUAUUAGUUAGUUAGAGCUACAAAAAGAGUGUCCAGGAUCGUGUGUUCUUAGUAUUGUUAAAUCUACAAAAGGAUUGUCCCUGGUUCUGCAUUCCUAGUAGUAUUUCAUCUACAAAAAACUGUGCUUUUUUAUAAUUAAAUCCUAAGAGUUGUUAAUCCACCCAAAAUCUAUGCUUGGUUCUGAAUUUUUAAUAUUGUUAGAUCUACAAAAGAACUGUGCAUGAUUCCACAUUCCCAACAUUGUUAUAUCCAUAAUAAAACUAUUCAUGGGUCUACAUUCUUAGUAUUGUUAGUUAUACAAAAGAACUGUGCAUGGAUCUGCAUUCUUAAUAUUGUUAGAUCUACAUAAGAAUGGUUCAUCAAUUUCCAUUCAUAAUAUUUGUUUUAGAUCUACAAAAGAACUGUUCACAGUUCUACAUUUUUAGUAUUGUUAGAUCCAAUAAAGAACUGAGCAUGUAUCUCCAUUCUUAAUAUGGUUAGAUCCAAAAAAAUCUAACUGUUCAUGGUUCUACUUUCUUGGUAAUCUUAAGAAUCAUAACACUACAGUGCUUGGUCCUACAUUCACACAGUUUUGUUAAAUCCACAGAAGAAGUGCUUUAAAGAACACUGCUUGUUUCUGAACUGUGUAUAGUUCUAUAUUCAUGGGUUUGUUAGACCUACUAAAAAAAAAGUGCUUGAUUCUGUUUUUUAAAUAAAAAAGAUGUGCAUGGCUCUACGUUCAUAGUUUUUUAGUUUCACGAAAUCCCAGUAUUUGAGUCUGUAUUUCAGUUGGAUCCACUUAAGAGCCACACAUUAUUUAACUUUAUUAUUUAAAUAAACAGUUAGGUGAGUUUAUACAUUUCAAGCAUUGUUAAAUCCACAAAAAUGUAUAUUAUGCUUUUACAUUUUAAGCAUCCUUUGAUUCUAACAAGUUUUAUACCAAUAUUUGGGCCAGGUUAACUACUUAAGGCACUGAUUUAAAUCUACUUAUUGUACUGGAAGUACUUAUAUCUGUGUUGAUUUAUUGUUCAGUGAUUUAUCAUCACAAUUCAGUACUUUGAUUAGUUUAUACCUCCUUUAGUAACCAAAUAUUAAGUUGCUUCAGUUCUUAAUAAUGAAUAAGAUGCUUGUAUUUAUAGUAUCAAUUAAAAGACAAACAAGUACCCAAUACUGGGCUAUAUGGGUACUUCAAAUAUUUUUUUCAUACCUCAGUGCCAUUACAUAAUGUUGAAGUAUAGUUUAUAUGCAAGGUAAUAAUCUUGGGAAUUUGGGUGCUAGUGUUACCAUACUAUUUUAUGGUACACUUUCUAAUCAACUACAUGUGAUUUUAUAAAGAUAGUGUGAUGCAUUAUCAUGAUAUUGAAUGAGUGAUAGGAAUUUUGUAUCCUUCCAAUGUUCUGACACUGCGUUGUACUUCAUAUUGUCAAUAAAGUCCUUAAGAAUCUGCAUUAACUGUUCAAAACAAUUA
rnacentral:lncRNA from 1 species